rnacentral:rRNA from 1 species
CGGGGGGGGGGGCUAAUAAUGCAGUCGAGCGAGCUGAAUUCAAAGAUCCCUUCGGGGUGAUUUGUUGGACGCUAGCGGCGGAUGGGUGAGUAACACGUGGGCAAUCUGCCCUAAAGACUGGGAUACCACUUGGAAACAGGUGCUAAUACCGGAUAACAACAUGAAUCGCAUGAUUCAAGUUUGAAAGGCGGCGCAAGCUGUCACUUUAGGAUGAGCCCGCGGCGCAUUAGCUAGUUGGUGGGGUAAAGGCCUACCAAGGCAAUGAUGCGUAGCCGAGUUGAGAGACUGAUCGGCCACAUUGGGACUGAGACACGGCCCAAACUCCUACGGGAGGCAGCAGUAGGGAAUCUUCCACAAUGGACGCAAGUCUGAUGGAGCAACGCCGCGUGAGUGAAGAAGGUUUUCGGAUCGUAAAGCUCUGUUGUUGGUGAAGAAGGAUAGAGGCAGUAACUGGUCUUUAUUUGACGGUAAUCAACCAGAAAGUCACGGCUAACUACGUGCCAGCAGCCGCGGUAAUACGUAGGUGGCAAGCGUUGUCCGGAUUUAUUGGGCGUAAAGCGAGCGCAGGCGGAAUGAUAAGUCUGAUGUGAAAGCCCACGGCUCAACCGUGGAACUGCAUCGGAAACUGUCAUUCUUGAGUGCAGAAGAGGAGAGUGGAACUCCAUGUGUAGCGGUGGAAUGCGUAGAUAUAUGGAAGAACACCAGUGGCGAAGGCGGCUCUCUGGUCUGCAACUGACGCUGAGGCUCGAAAGCAUGGGUAGCGAACAGGAUUAGAUACCCUGGUAGUCCAUGCCGUAAACGAUGAGCGCUAGGUGUUGGGGACUUUCCGGUCCUCAGUGCCGCAGCAAACGCAUUAAGCGCUCCGCCUGGGGAGUACGACCGCAAGGUUGAAACUCAAAGGAAUUGACGGGGGCCCGCACAAGCGGUGGAGCAUGUGGUUUAAUUCGAAGCAACGCGAAGAACCUUACCAGGUCUUUGACAUCCUGCGACUACAUCUUAGAGAUAAGGUCGGUUCCCCUUCGGGGGACGCAGGAGACAGGUGGUGCAUGGGCUGUCGUCAGCUCGUGUCGUGAGAUGUUGGUUAAGUCCCGCACGAGGCGCAACCUUGUCUUUAGUUUGGCCAUCAUUUAGUUGGCCACCUUCCUAGAGAGACUGACGGUGACCAAUCCGAAGGAAAGGUUGGGAAUGACCGAUCAAGGUUCAAUUCCAAUGUGUCCCUCCCU